rnacentral:rRNA from 1 species
UACGUAGGGUGCGAGCGUUAAUCGGAAUUACUGGGCGUAAAGCGCGCGUAGGUGGUUCAGUAAGUUGGAAGUGAAAUCCCCGGGCUCAACCUGGGAACUGCUUUCAAAACUGCUGAGCUAGAGUACGGUAGAGGGUAGUGGAAUUUCCUGUGUAGCGGUGAAAUGCGUAGAUAUAGGAAGGAACACCAGUGGCGAAGGCGACUACCUGGACUGAUACUGACACUGAGGUGCGAAAGCGUGGGGAGCAAACAGG